UUACUUUGAACUUCUAAGUGCAGGAUCUAAAACCACUAGUGAAAUUUCUGGAGUCAAUUAGCAAAUCCCUUCAUAGAAAUUUCUAUCACUGGGUCUUCGUGAGCACACCUUGCAUCUCCUGAAAUCCCAAUUGCCACCUAGGUAUGAAACAACUUCAAGUGAUGAUUCCAGCUCAGAUGAAAGCUCUUCUUCCGAGUCAGAUGACGAGUGUGAUGUCAUUGAGUAUCCUCUUGAAGAAGAGGAGGAGGAGGAGGAUGAAGACACUCGGGGAAUGGCAGAAGGGCACCAUGCAGUUAAUAUUGAAGGUUUGAAGUCUGCCAGGGUGGAAGAUGAAAUGCAGGUUCAAGAAUGUGAACCUGAGAAGGUGGAAAUCAGAGAGAGGUAUGAAUUAAGUGAAAAGAUGUUGUCUGCAUGCAACUUACUGAAAAAUACUAUAAAUGACCCCAAAGCUUUGACCAGCAAAGAUAUGGUGAGUCUGACCUGCAAACACCAUCCCCAGUGUGUACAAAGUGCAUGAGUGGGUUCAUUGUCAAGGCCAGCUGUAGGCUGCCCGAGUUGUUGCUUGCAUGCUUUUCUCCUGAACUGUUUCCAGCAUGAGUGGGCUGGGUGAACAUCAUGUGGUCUUGCUCCCUGGAUCACACUGCCAGCGUUUCCUUGAGGCCCAACUUCGGACAUCCUUUACCCACCCUGGACUUUUCCUGGGGUGGAGGCAUCUGUGAGGCAUACACUUGCAGACAGAAAGGAGGGCUAAUUGCAGUCAGUCGUCAUCUUUCUACACAUUUCAUUUCUAUUUAUAGAACAGUAAGAUCCAGGGAGCAGCAUCCAAGAAUUUUGUUUUUUUAAGUUAGCAUAUGUUUUUAAAAGAAACCUAUCUGAGCCAAGGUCAGCAUUCCUUUCAGUUAUGAAACUGUAUGUUAUGCUCUGAUGUGGAAUGCAGGCGGCCACUAUUUUUAAACUAAAAAUAACCGCACUUGUCAUCUCGCAGUCUAAGAAAUUCAGAGCAAACAGCAAAGAGUUUGUGGUUGCCUUAGUGAUCACGAAUGGUACAACAUAGGACACAAGUAUUUCUAUGGCAGUGGUUAAUCUGACACCAUGGCCAAGAAUGACAUAUUCUCAUGUGUCGAAGUUAUGUGCACAUUCUUUCAUAGGCCAGACUAACCCACUGGUUGACAGCUGUCUUUUUUAUUAGUGCAUUGAGAAAAUGUAGGAUCCCCUAAGGAUACCAAAAUGCACAGAUACUCAAGUCCCUUAUGUAAAAUGGUGUAGUAUUUGCAUAUAAACUAUGCAUAUACUUUAAAUUCUGCCAUAUAUUUUAAAUCAUUUCUAUAUCAUAAUACCUAAUACAGGGCCAGGUGCAGUGGCUGACACCUAUGAUCCCAAACACUUUGGGAGGCCGAUGCAGGCCGAUCACAUGAGGUCUGGGGUUCGAGACGAGCUUAGCCAACAUGGUGAAACCCUGUCUCUACUAAAAAUACAAAAAGUUAGCCAGGCAUGGUGGUACACCCGUGUAAUCCCAGCUACUCGGGAGUCUGAGGCUGGAGAAUUGCUUGCACCCGGGAGGUGAUGGUUGCAGUGAGCCAAGAUUGCACUUCUGCACUCACGCCUGGGUGACAGAGUGAGACUCUGUCUGAAAAAAAGCCUGGAGUGCAGUGGCGUGAUCUCGGCUCACUGCAAGCUCCGCCUCCCGGGUUCGGGCCAUUCUCCUGCCUCACCCUCCCCAGUAGCUGGGACUACCGGCGUCCACCACAACGCCAGGCUAAUUUUUUUGUAUUUUUAGUAGAGACCGGGUCUCACCGUGUUAGUCAGGAUGGUCUCGAUCUCCUGACCUCGUGGUCCGCCCAUCUUGGCCUCCCAAAGUUCUGGGAUUAUAGGCAUGAGCCACCAUGCCUCCCAAAGUGCUGGGAUUUACAGGCAUGACCCACCGUGCCUGGCCUCAAAAACUUAACACAAUGUAAAUGCUAUAUAAAUAGUUGUUAUACUGUAUUGUUUUGUAUUACAUAUUUUUUAAAUAUUUUCACUCUGCCCGUGGUUGAAUCUAUGGAAAUGGAACCUGUAGAUACAGAGGGCCAGCUGUACUAAAUAAAAUUGCUGGUCAAGUCCAGGCACAGGGGCUCACACCUGUAAUCCCAGCACUUUGAGAGGCCAAGGCAGUGGAUCACUUGAGCCCAGGAGUUCAGUUUGAGACCAGCCUGGGCAACAUGGCAAAACCCUGUCUCUACAAAAAUUAGCCAGGUAUGAUGGCAUGUACCCAUGGUCCUAGCUGCUUGGGAGGCUGAGGCAAGAAGAUAGCUGGAGGCCCAGGAAGUUCAGGCUGCAGUGCUCCAUCAUCAUGCCACUGCACUCCAGCCUGGGAGACAGAGUGACACCCUCUCAAAAAAAAAAAAAUUCCUAGUCAAGGGGAAACAUAGAACUACAUAUUGAAAUUCUUGGAUUUGUAUUCAUGAAAAUACCUGGCUAUACCUUGGUCACUAGUAAAACCAUAAAAUCUCACUGCAGUGUCAGUAUUUCCCAUCAGGUUUAACCUAAACUUAAAACUGGUGCCUUACAACCCCAGAUUUUAUAGCCAUAGUACACUUUUCUUUCACUGUUCUCAAAAUACUAGGUUACGUGGCCUUUGGGAAGGAUUCUGUUUUCCUGCAUCCUCCAAAUUGCCGAGCAUGGUGUCAUCCACACACACUGUGAUGGGUACAUCUUUUUAAUUGAAUUUUCAUUUGGUAUGAAAGUAGUGGACGAGUGAACACAAUGCCAGGGCUAGAUAAUCAUGUCAGGACACCAGUUAUUUAGCAGUAAUAGAAUUAGGAUGACCAGAACACGUAAUUUCCCUUCUUUCAGUGUGACAACUCCAAAGACACAGGAAUCUGAAUAUAUACAGAAGAAAAAGGAAACUUUUCACGUGACCCAAAAUGUGAUUGAAAUGGUUAAAACUAAAUAAUCAGUAGCAGGAUGAUAAAGAGAUGGAAGCUCUAUAAUCCCAACUCUACCUUUUCUACAGAAAGAGGACUCUUGGGUUCUGGUGCUUCUGACAUAGGCUGUCUUUCUUUGAUACAUUUUUAAACUUUUAAAGAGUAAGCACAGCAGAAAUGAAUAUUAAACUCAUAUGAAGGCCCAUUGAAAAGACACUGUAGUCAUCCUCAUCACCAGUACUGACUACUCAGUCUCCACUGAGUUUCAUGUGACCCAGGGUUGAGUUGAUCAUCCACAAAGCAAGUGCCUUCUUCAUGUGUCCACAGCCUAAGGAAGUCAGAGUGGAGCUGAUGAGAGAAUGAAAUGAGUUCCAGACGGGCUUCCCUUUUAUUUUCCCUUUCCGUGGUUGAACAGUUGUAUUUGGGAUUGGGGUGGGAAUUGGGUUGGCUAUACACGUACAGUCUCCCAACCUAGUGCUGUGCUGAGGAGUUGAAGGAGGUGAGUUUGGUCUGGAUAGGAAGGAAGCAGCAUAAUUCAGUGUAGGCUAGUUAAUUUCUUCCUAAUUUCUAUGAAAAUUGUUUGCAAGGCCAGUAUGAUU
rnacentral:lncRNA from 1 species